rnacentral:tRNA from 2 species
GGAGGAGUCGCAUAGUUGGUCUAGUGCGGCCGCCUGCUAAGCGGUUACUCGGCUUUUAACCGGGUCGCGGGUUCGAAUCCCGCCUCCUCCGCCA